AGGAAUUGUUCAAUCGAGAAGUGACAUGAAAAAAUGCGUCUUCGUUGCAGGGUAUCGUGAGACCACCCAUUGAAUGUUGAAAUCCAAAUUCUUCCUCUGAUAUCUGAAGCAAUUCCUGGAACAAACUGUGAUUCAGAGUGCAGUUUGUGGUACUGCUUCACACUUGAAAUAAUUGGUGGUAAACGAAUAAUACCCAUCACUAGAUCUUGUUAUUAAAGGCUUGUUAAUGACUUGAGAAAGAUAAUGCAGUUGAAGUGUUUGAUGAUUUGUCUGACUGUCUAUUUAUAAUAGCUACUGGAAGAUGAUGUUGCGUUCCACCGCAGCUCAGCCUGUCCUUGUGUACAAUUGGUAAUCAUGUGAAAUGGGUCCAACUUCACAUGUUUGCUUCAUCAUCAACAAAUAAAAUACUCCUAUCCAAUUCCCAGACCAUUAUUGAAUUCCUUCCAAAAUCUGAUGAAACAGCCAAAUUGUGAAUUUAAGUUCCUUCCCCACACGACUUUGACCUGAUUACGACUACUUGGUUCAAAACUCAAUAAAAAGAUAAAAAGAUAAUGUUAGGUAAUUAUUCUUAUGUUUGAUAUUUGAUGAACAGAGUUACUUGAUACUAUUAUUGGUGGGAUAUGACAUAUAUCUCAUAGAAUUAAUCAAGAUGUGUUAAAGCUGACUCGAAUAUCACGGUCGUGUAAAAAAAUAAAAUGUAUAUUGUUUGGCUCAAAAAGAUAAAAGUAAUGAGAGCUAAUUAAUCAAAUUGAGUCUGCCAUUUA